AUUGAUCGAGUAUUCAUCUCCCUCUCGCAAUCGUCUUCUCAGCAUGACAACCAAAAUCGCGUCUUGUUAUCACCGCCGGACCCCCUAGCCGGUGAAUUUACCGAUAAAUCUCGCCGGAAAUGAUGCGGAAGAAAUGGAAACGAGAACGCAGCAGAUCAUCAUAUUAUAUGUAGUCUUCAAGAUUCGCAUCUUGAAGAAGGUGCUGUUUAUGACGAUCAAUGUCGUAACCAACAUAAUCAUCAAGAUAGGUUAUUGGGAAUGCCUUCUUGCUUUGUUCGCCUCUCAGCGGUCACGGCUUAGAUUUGCAGUGAAGAAAAUAACAGUUAUAGCGAGGGGAGUCAUCAAGGUCAGUUUUCUUUUUCUUUUUCUUUUGUUUUUUUCUCAGGAAAGAAAAUUAACCUUGACGCUUACAACUAGCAAUGCUUAUCGCGAUGAUAAUGUUGGUUGUGAUCUUCCGUCUCCAGUUCUUCCGCGGCCUUUCCGUCUCUAUUAGCCAUCUGUAUAAUGUGCUUUUGUUUUAUAAAUAGAAUUUUUUAGCAGACACUGAGAAUAGUCGUAACCCAGAUAUGGCAAUCUACAAUCCAAGCACAAUCCAUUGGGCAGAAACAAGGAACCACAAAAUCUUGAUUUCUAAGGAAAUCUGGGAGUAGUUUUAAUCUUCUUUUACAGAGGAGUGAACAAGUUCUUUGGACUUACUGAGGGUUCUCUGCUAUUCAGAUUCUAUCAGAGCUUGCCUUUUCUUUUCUCCUGUUCUUUCCUUUUCUCAAAGUUCUUUAGCCUUUCUUUUUUUUUUUUUUUGUUUUCUCCUUUAAAAUGCUGAAACAUUUGAUUAAAAGUGUAUAUAUUCUUUCUUGCUUGUCAACAUUCUUUCCAGUAAUCUAUUUCAUAUUAGAACCUAAUGGUGCCUUUUGAAUAAGAAAUUGAUUUCUUAGUUUCUUUGUCAUAAUAUGAUGUGCCAAUCGAAUCAAGGGCCACGGCGGGCAGAUUAUAAAAGGAAACCUUCAAUGUUUUUUGGACAG
rnacentral:lncRNA from 1 species